UACGAGGGGGGCGAGCGUUGUUCGGAAUUAUUGGGCGUAAAGGGUGCGUAGGCGGUUUGGUAAGUCUCUUGUGAAAUCUCUGGGCUCAACUCAGAGUCUGCAAGGGAAACUGCCGGGCUUGAGUGUGGGAGAGGUGAGUGGAAUUUCCGGUGUAGCGGUGAAAUGCGUAGAUAUCGGAAGGAACACCUGUGGCGAAAGCGGCUCACUGGACCACAACUGACGCUGAUGCACGAAAGCUGGGGGAGCAAACAGG
rnacentral:rRNA from 1 species